CAAACACUAAGUUGUGAAUCCACCUUGGAUGUGAGGAUCAAUAUGGAUCUAUGAACUUAAAAAAAAAAGGGAGAGAGAUGUGGAGUUAAAACAACAACAAAAACAUCACUCUUCAGUGGCUGCCACAACUCCUGCUUCUGCUUUCCCAUUCGCUGCCAAGGACAGGCAACCUCAGCGAUGUACCGAGUGAGACGCUGGGCAGGCGUGAAAGCAGGUGAGGUGUGUUCUUCAGCUCCUUGAAACCAGGCAGACCUUUUGAUAUGCUGAGACCAGUAGCAUGUGGUGGAAGGGCCAUGUGGAGAAGAGUCAGGUGCCUCAAACAACAGACAGCACAGACUGCCAGAGGAGCGAGUGAAGCCAGCCCGGACGCUCUACUUACUGCAAGCCAUCAGGUCACUGCAGCUGCAUGUGUGAACCCAAGUUAGACCAGCAGGACUGCCUGGAUUGCCAGUGCGUAAAAUUAUGCAAAAGAACCAAUGAUUGCUGUUUUAUGCCACGAUUUUGGAGGACCUUGUAACAAGAACAAUAAAUAACUGACACAGGUGUUCAAGGCUGCAGUGAGCUAUAACUGCACCACCGCAGUCCAACCUGGGUGACAGAGCAAGGGAGCCUGUCUCAAAAAAAUAAAAUAAAUUACUGACAUAUGCUUAUUAUUUUUAAAAUAAUUUUCUUUUGACUUAAUUCUUCAGUUCAGCUUGCUUAUAUGGAUAAUAUCAAAAUGAAUCACUUUAAUUUUCUACUAUGGAUUAUAGUUAAGAGCUUGUCAAAAAUAGACCAGAUACCUCUACAACAGCAGCAUUUAUUCAGGUCAUGGUACCUGCAUGGGCAACUGAGAUCCAUCGUCUGGUCCCAGGUUUUGUAUGUCAGGUUACAGGACGGAUUCACAACAUUCAAUCUCACAAAACAUUAACGUUCUAUUUAGAAUGGUCCAUUUCUUAAAAAUUAAAGUAAUGCUGCAACGUAGGCAAGAUUUUUCAUCUCUUCAGCAGAAAACCCUGACCUAUGUUGGUAACCUAAAUGAAAAGUGAAAAUAUUUCGAGAUAUAAAUGAUAAUUUGGAUGCUAUUAUACUAUCACAGGAUCCUGAUGCCCCUUAUCAGUGAUAAACAAUGGAACCUGAUAGUGCAUCCCAGCAGAUAGGACCUCUUCCACACUGCACAGUGUUAGAGAUGCAACGAGAGGCUCCAGGCCAGGUGCAGUGGCUCAAACCUGUAAUCUCAGCAGUUUGGGAGGCUGAGGUGGGUGGAUUGCUUUAGGCCAGGAGCUUGAGAUGGGCGUGGCCAACAUAGUGAAACCCCGUCUCUACUAAAAAUACAAAACUUGGCCCAGUGUAGUGGCACGCGCCUGUAGUCCCAGUGACUCAGGAAGCUGAGGCACAAGAAUCGCUUGAACCCAGGAGGCAGAAUCUAUAGUGAGCCGUGAUCAUGCCACUGCACUCCAGCCUGGGCAACAGAAUGAGACUCCAUUUCAAAAAAAAAAAAAAAAAUAGACUCUAGUGCUGGUAUUCUAAUUUCUAAGACUCCAUAUGGAAAUAUGGAAAUACCUGUUGAGAGACACCAGCAUUAUAUCACGCUGACAUCAUUGCAUUGUGAUCCGUUUUUCCUGGCUCUGCACUCUUGAUGGAGACUUGAGAAAACUCGCUGGCAGCACAUUUCUCAACAUUCAUAUUUUUGCUUAGGUUAGUACUUUACCAAUCUUAUCCCCAAAUUGUGGCAGAUCACUCUGUCCCUACUAUGUCUCCAGGAAAGCAGCAGAAAUCUCUCAGCCAUUUUUAUAUCUUUGGCACAUCUUCAAAGUUGAUAUAAUUAUUUGCAUUCUUUCUGAUUACGUGAAAACCGAGGCCUUAUUUGUUAUAUUAAGAGUUCAAGUUCCUUAAUAGUAAUACUUUGGCUCAUUGUUUUCUUAUGAAAAUAUAGCUAUAACAUCAUUUUAAAAGAGAUGGGACUUAGAAAGAUUCCGCUCUACUGAUUUUACAGCUGUUUGGUGCAAUACAUAAUUACUGGGUAGCUUUACUCCAGUGGGAAAAUGAUGCUCCAGAUACUGCAUUAAGCAUUUUUCCUCACAAUGAAUGCCUAGUUUACUUUUGCACAUUCUCAAAUUUAUAUACUUCUCCCUCUUCUAUUCCCAUCAAUAAGGCCUUUCCAGCAACUCUCCUCCUACUCCCUUUACCAAAACAAACACAAAUAAAUAAAAUAAUCAGUCAAAAGGAGGCAGGCAUGAGGGUACUUUGUCAGUAUUGUUAUCACCUGGAGUAUUAGUAAACUGCCUCAGUGGUGUGCGAGAUUUCUUUCAAACCUUUGUAUUUUUAAGUGGGACAUGUAAUUAUAUCACGAAAAUGAGAACGGAAACAAAAUUAAAGUUUUAUGCUAUCAUUAUUAAUCAUUCUAGUCAUAAUAUUUAAUUUUCUGUCCCCUAUGACAUGUAUAAUAACUAAGGAAAUAUGCCCCAUUUAAAGGAUUGAAGCCAGUAUCCUCCAUCAUUUGAGGGGAAUUUCCAGCCAAAAUGUUUGAUUGGCACUCAUGAGGACAGGUGCGACCCUGCACCUGGGUCACUAGUUAAUUCCUCUGGAUACUUGUUUGGGUCAAAAUGAGCUCAAGUGAGUAACAGGCACAAAGCCUUCGCUUUCUGUCUCGACCCAACAAGGACCUGUACAGAAGAUGAGUUUUCUCAUCAGCCCAUUCCCAAGUAUCCCACAUAUUCAAUGAGCCAGCAGGUCAUCUCCUGUUCAGCAGUUGAAAAUCACCUCCGAUUCAGCUGACACACAGGAAGUCCAUCAAUGUCCAUUAGCCCAGAACAAGCGUGUCGGUCACAGCAGCUGUCAGUCUAGGCCAAAGAGGUCCUGUCAGGGCCAUUGUUAUUUUUGUCCUGAAGUUAGGUAUGAAAGUUAUGGUCAUGGCAGGUUUUAAUUAUUUGUGUCAACAAAGACAAUGGACAGUCACCCAAACUCAAUAACUCUGUAUUUUAAAAGCUGUAAAGAAAAGCACAUGUGAUAAGCUUAUCAAUAUUUCUGAUAUAUUAUUCAGGUACUUUGGUCCUUGUGUGUCUCUGAUUAGGUGUCGGCUUUUAGAUUAGAUGGAUUGGAUUGAUUAUGGCUUUUGAAAAUUGUUAUUUAUAUUUAGAUAUCUCUAUAUUGGACACGUAGUUGUUUGGAGAAAUGAGUCUAAUACCCAUGUUGAAAGCAGAAACGGGAUAUAACGUUUUUGUUCUGUUUCUAUGAUCUUUUUAUGAACAAGAAUGUUACGCCAACUCUAUUUUUUUGGAGAUAAAUGGGUAUAUGAAAAUAACACCUUCAGCACGUAUUGCCUAACACUCAUUUGUAAUUAUCACGUAUAAUGCCUGGUUGAUUACGGUUUUAACGUCUUUGCAUAUUGUAAGCCCCCAAUGAUGCUGUGACCUACUUGGAUGCAGAGCCUCUUUCACUGUGUCAUUAUGCCUCCAAUAAUACAACUAACAUGAAUAGUAAAGAGCAAUAAAUAGAUAGCUCCCAUCCAUUGAGCUCUUAGUUGCUCGUGGCUUAAUGCUAAACACUUCCCAUAUGUAUCUUAACCCUGAAAAUCAUUCCAUGAGGCAGCAAUUAUUUGUGUCUUUACAGACAAUGGAACAGAAGUGUAUGUAAUUACUAACUUGCUUAUGCUUAUAUUUUGCUAAAAGAAAAGGUUCUCUCCCCCUUUUAGGUGCAUUUGCAAGGCAGCUCUUCGGAACAAGGCACAGGCGUUCUAUUUUUUUAUUAUUAGUAGCAGCAGCAACUGCUGCAACAGCAGUAGCCUUAGUAGCAGUUUGCUGUUUAUAAUCUCCUUUCUCAAUUGGAUUGUUUGCAUCUUGAGGUCCUCUUGCUCAUAUUUGUAUUCUUAACAUCCAUGAGCCACCUCUCAGGUACCACUAAUACAAUGUCGAGGAAUAAAUGGGGAGAAUUGUUAUGAUCUUGAGCCUCGCUCCUAGAGGAUCACUUCUCUGUAAGAGGGAUGUGUAAUUCAGGACUCCCCAGAUGGGAAACCAGUAUGUGUGGAAAUAUUAUAAAGAGGUUUCACUGUAGCGUACGUUGUAAUAAUUUACAACAUUUGUUCAAAUGCAUAUCCUACAUGGUACAGCAAUUACACAGGUAAUAAAUCUUGUAUCUGAAAACACAGAACACAUGAUACCCAGCCUUUUCAUGCACACUUGAUUUCUCCUGAUUUAUUAAUAACUUUCUCGUGUUUAAGUGACUGUCCUUAUUACGCAUUGCUUUGUUUCUCACUGUGGCAUGACCUUAGCUCGACAGUUGCUAAAAUUCUCCCAGGAGACUUUUUAAUGCUACAUUUGCUUAGAAGACAUGUUCUGCCUUGUGGCUAAUGAUAUAGUUGCGUGGUAAGAAAGAAGGAUGAAAGCAGAAACACACAGACAGGACAUUGAGAAGCGGAUUAACAACAAAUACAAAGGAGGGAAACGAAAACCAAUUCAUUCUCUUUUUUUGCACAUAGUUUUAAGCAUAUCAUGACAUUUCGAAAGUAGGAAACAUCCCUACAAAGCUGGAUCAAACACGAUACUAACCCCAACACCACAGUUCUUCAAGUGGCAGGUGGUAAACUAUAACACACCAUUAACACUUUGUAAAAUGUUACUUAAAAUACAAAUGAUAAAGGGACCAAAGGCCCUGGCGUUCUCAGUUUAACUGACUUGUUUACCUUUAUAGUUUAGUCACAUGAUAUUGUUUUUACCAAUGAAUGUAAGUUCUCAUCUUCAUUUCACGCUCAAUCUGU
rnacentral:lncRNA from 1 species